GAUGAACGCUGGCGGCGUGCCUAAUACAUGCAAGUCGAGCGAACGGACGGGAAGCUUGCUUCUCUGAUGUUAGCGGCGGACGGGUGAGUAACACGUGGAUAACCUACCUAUAAGACUGGGAUAACUUCGGGAAACCGGAGCUAAUACCGGAUAAUAUUUUGAACCGCAUGGUUCAAAAGUGAAAGACGGUCUUGCUGUCACUUAUAGAUGGAUCCGCGCUGCAUUAGCUAGUUGGUAAGGUAACGGCUUACCAAGGCAACGAUGCAUAGCCGACCUGAGAGGGUGAUCGGCCACACUGGAACUGAGACACGGUCCAGACUCCUACGGGAGGCAGCAGUAGGGAAUCUUCCGCAAUGGGCGAAAGCCUGACGGAGCAACGCCGCGUGAGUGAUGAAGGUCUGCGGAUCGUAAAACUCUGUUAUUAGGGAAGAACAUAUGUGUAAGUAACUGUGCACAUCUUGACGGUACCUAAGCAGAAAGCCACGGCUAACUACGU
rnacentral:rRNA from 1 species